rnacentral:tRNA from 1 species
UUAAUUGAAACCAAAAUAGAGGUAAAUCACUGUUAAUGAUAUAACUGAGUCAAAACUCCAAUUAAG